rnacentral:rRNA from 1 species
UACGAAGGUGGCGAAUGUUGUUCGGAUUUACUGGGCGUAAAGCGUCCGCAGGUGGUUUAUUACGUCAGGUGUGAAAGCCCCGUGCUCAACAUGGGAACUGCACUUGAAACGGAUUGACUUGAAGGUAAGAGAGGUUGGCAGAAUAACUGGUGAAGAGGUGAAAUUCGUAGAUAUCAGUUGGAAUACCCAUGGCGAAGGCAGCUAACUGGCUUAUUCUUGACACUCAUGGACGACAGCGUGGGGAGCAAACAGG